ACGGCCGCAUCACUUUGAAAUGCCGGUUCCCGUAGGAUCACCGAAGUUAAGCAACGUCGAGCCUGGUCAGUAUCUAGAUGGGCGACUGAUUUGGAAUACAAGGUGCUGUAAG